GGGCCCGCACAAGCGGUGGAGUAUGUGGUUUAAUUCGAUGCAACGCGAAGAACCUUACCAGGGUUUGACAUCCUGCGAAUCUCUUGGAAACUUGAGAGUGCCUUCGGGAGCGCAGUGACAGGUGGUGCAUGGCUGUCGUCAGCUCGUGUCGUGAGAUGUUGGGUUAAGUCCCGCAACGAGCGCAACCCACGUCUUUAGUUGCCAGCAUUUAGUUGGGCACUCUAGAGAGACCGCCGGUGAUAAACCGGAGGAAGGUGUGGAUGACGUCAAGUCAUCAUGCCCCUUACAUCCUGGGCUACACACGUACUACAAUGCUACGGACAAAGGGCAGCAAGUUCGCGAGGACAGCAAAUCCCAUAAAGCCAGUCUCAGUUCGGAUUGGAGUCUGCAACUCGACUCCAUG
rnacentral:rRNA from 1 species